rnacentral:rRNA from 1 species
AUGCCCAUGCUUGCAUGCUCUCGUAGAUCGGUAGAUGACAUGGCUCACCUGACGGCACUACUCCUCGCGUCCGUUCUCGUCUUCGUCUUGAGCGCGACACCCACGCUAAGCAUUAUCACUGGCGGAGGCGGUGCGACAGCGAGGCAGAGUACCAGCCUCAACCAUGGCGCCGCUCGAACUUACGUAGUGCUCGUCGAGCCUCCGGCGCACGCGCACCACGACGACGAAGCCGCGCACCGGAGAUGGCAUGAGUCGUUCCUGCGGACGGGGUCGCGCCCUGGCAGGAAGGCCGGCGGCGAAGCACCCACCAUUCGCCACUCGUACACGGGCGUGUUUUCCGGCUUCGCCGCAAAGCUGACGGAGGACGAGCUCGCAGCGGUGUCCAGGAAGCGCGGGUUCGUGCGCGCCUUCCCGGAGCGGAGGGUGCCGCUCAUGACGACGCGCACGCCGGGGUUCCUCGGCCUGGACGCCAAGCAAGGCGUCUGGAACGCCACAAACUACGGCGAGGGCGUCAUCGUCGGGUUGCUCGACACCGGCAUCGCCGCCUCGCACCCUUCGUUUGGAGACGAGGGCAUGCCGCCGCCGCCUGCCAAGUGGAAGGGCAAGUGCCAGGCCCCCGUGCGUUGCAACAACAAGCUCGUCGGCCUGGUGUCGCUCAUGGGCGGCAACGACACCACCGACGCCGUCGGGCACGGGACGCACACGGCAGGCACCGCGGCAGGCCACUUCGUGGACGGCGUCUCGGCGUUCGGCCUUGGCAGGGGCACCGCCGCGGGGAUUGCACCGGGCGCGCACCUGGCCAUGUACAAGGUAUGCGACGGCGAAGGAUGCUUCGAGUCCGACAUACUGGCCGGGAUGGACGCGGCAGUGAAGGACGGCGUGGACGUGCUGUCGCUCUCCCUCGGCGGCCCCUCCAUACCAUUGGAUAAGGACCUGAUCGCGAUCGGCGCGUUCGGGGUGAUGUCCAAGGGCAUCCUUGUGGUGUGCGCCGGCGGUAACAGCGGCCCGACGCCCGCCACGCUGUCAAAUGAGGCGCCGUGGAUAUUGACCGUGGGGGCCGGGUCGGUGGACCGGAGCUACCGGGCCACCGUGCGGCUCGGCGACGGGGAAGCGUUCGACGGCGAGUCGCUGACGCAGGACAAGCGCUUCAGCUCCAAGGCGUACCCGCUCUACUACCCUCAGGGCACCAGCUACUGCGACUACUUCGACGGCGUCAACAUCACCGGCAAGGUGGUCGUGUGCGACACCGAGACGCCGUUGCCUCCGCUGAACUCGAUCCAGGCGGUCCAGGCGGCAGGCGGCGCCGGAGUGGUGUUCAUCAACGAAGCCGACUUCGGGUACACCAUCGUCGUAGAGAAGUAUUAUAACCUCCCAAUGUCACAGGUGACAGCGACCGACGGCGCCAAGAUCAUGGGCUACGCCAGGGUGGGCUCGACGGCGGCCGCCCACACUGCAACGAUACUGUUCAACAGCUCGAUUGUUCACGUGAAGCCGGCGCCUAUCGUCGCGGCCUUCUCGUCCCGCGGGCCGAACGCGGCCAGCCCCGGCGUGCUCAAGCCCGACAUCAUGGCGCCGGGGCUCAACAUCCUCGCCGCGUGGCCGUCGAUGGUGCCUAUCGAUGGCACGGAGUCGUACAGCUACAACGUUGCCUCCGGCACGUCCAUGGCCGCGCCGCACGUCACCGGCAUCGUGGCGCUCGUGAAGAAGGCGCACCCGGACUGGUCGCCGUCGGCGGUCAAGUCGGCCAUCAUGACCACGUCCAGCACCGCCGACAACGCGGGGCACCCCAUCAUGGACGAAGAGCACCGGAAGGCGAGCUUCUACUCGAUCGGCGCCGGCCACGUGGACGCGGCGAAGGCCCUGGACCCAGGCCUGGUCUACGACCUCGACGUCGGCGACUACAGCGCCUACAUCUGCGGGCUGCUCGGUGAGCCGGCCAUGAAGACCAUUACGGGGAACAGCAGCUUGACGUGCGCGGCGGUGGGGUCCAUCCCGGAGGCGCAGCUGAACUACCCGGCGAUACUGGUGCCACUCUCCAAGAAGCCGUUCAAGGCAAAGCGGACGGUGACAAACGUAGGGCCGGCGAAGUCGAUGUACACCGCUCACCUGGACGUGCCCAAUUGGCUCAAGGUGAAGGUGGAGCCAGAGGCGCUGGAGUUCACGUCGGCGAUGGAGAAGAAGACAUUCACGGUGACCGUGAGCAGCAGGGGAGGUGACGCCGACGCCAACGCCGGGCAGCUGGCCGAGGGGAGCCUACGCUGGGUGUCUGAAGAUCACGUGGUGCGGAGCCCGAUCAUCGCCGACGCCAGGGUUGUCCCGACAUGA